rnacentral:rRNA from 1 species
GCUAAUACCGCAUAAUGCCUACGGGCCAAAGAGGGGGACCUUCGGGCCUCUCACGUCAAGAUAUGCCUAGGUGGGAUUAGCUAGUUGGUGAGGUAAUGGCUCACCAAGGCGACGAUCCCUAGCUGGUCUGAGAGGAUGAUCAGCCACACUGGAACAGAGACACGGUCCAGACUCCUACGGGAGGCAGCAGUGGGGAAUAUCGCACAAUGGGCGAAAGCCUGAUGCAGCCAUGCCGCGUGUAUGAAGAAGGCCUUCGGGUUGUAAAGUACUUUCAGUUGUGAGGAAGGGGGUGUCGUUAAUAGCGGCAUCUCUUGACGUUAGCAACAGAAGAAGCACCGGCUAACUCCGUGCCAGCAGCCACGGUAAUACGGAAGGUGCGAGCGUUAAUCGGAAUUACUGGGCGUAAAGCGCAUGCAGGUGGUUCGUUAAGUCAGAUGUGAAAGCCCGGGGCUCAACCUCGGAACUGCAUUUGAAACUGGCGGACUAGAGUACUGUAGAGGGGGGUAGAAUUUCAGGUGUAGCGGUGAAAUGCGUAGAGAUCCGAAGGAAUACCGGUGGCGAAGGCGGCCCCCUGGA